rnacentral:lncRNA from 1 species
AUGAGGAGGAUCAGUGGUGCUGCCAGCUGGCUCCUGGAAUGCCUGAGCGUGCUGCGGGAUGCCCGGGACACUCCAGGACUGCUGGCUGCAUUCCAGGCCUUUUCUGAGGCCGUGCUCCUGCUGAGCCGCCUAACGGCCAAGCGCCUCCAGGAACUCGGAGACUGUCCUGGAGGGAAGAGCUUGGCCCAGACCCUGCAGCUGCUCCACAAGUGCGUCUCGCUCAUCCACACAGCCCUGACACAUUCCAGGGAUAGCCAAGCUGACCUCUCCCAAGAUUCUGUUUUCCAGCUGACAGAGAGGACCAUCAGGGAGCUCCUCUCCCUGCUCACGGAGCCCCAGGACAGGAGUGGGAUCUUCUCCCAGCAGGUGAGCAGGCUCCAGGCUCUCCUCUCCCACUCUGACCCCCUGCGCCUCUCCGAGGGUGGGUUCAGCUCCCACUUGGAAGCGGUCAUUCUCCACGGAAUGCUGCUGGCAGAGUCAUCCAGGCUGGAUCUGCAGCUGGAGCUGGUGGAACAUUGCUGGACCCUGCUGCAGCUGAGGAGGAGCAUCUGCAGCCACAUGAGCCAGAGGGAGGGCCAGGGAGAACACGGACUGGAGCGGGAAUGUCACCGCUUGAGGGAGGAGCUGAAAAACCUGGACCGGGCAGCGCUCAGGGCCACACUGUGCCAAAUCCUGGAUGGAUUCUUCCAGGAGAAGGAGCCCCUGAGGCAGCUGGUGGAAGGUGCCCUUAGCCUUGCCCAUUCAGGAUGUUGUCCAGCAGGACCAGGAGGAAUUUUAAGGAAGCUCCAGCCCCUCAUUGCCACCUUCUUCGCUCAGGCCCAGCGGAUACUCCGAGCGGCCGAUCUGCUCCUGGCCAGGUGUGCCAAGGCCCAAACUGCCAGGGAAAUCCGGGAGGGCAUGGAGCACCUGCGGAGCCUCCUGGCCAGCCUUCCUUCCCUGCUCAUGGAAACAAGUGGGAAUACUGUGGAACAGCUCCAGGCCCUGAGCUGUGCCUGGGCCAGAGCCACCAACAGCCUCCUGCGCUGCUUUGAGGAGACCAUUGGCAUGAGGGAAUUCCUCGAGUUAUCCAUCCUGGAGCUGGCCAAGCAAAAGGAAUGGUGCGAAGCAGCACAGGAACGUUGGGAUCCCGAGGGAUUCUCCUGGCACACUGCUCGCCUCAUGGGCUGGGCACGCUGGGUAGUAGGAGCCUCCACCCGGCACGUGGACAGGACCACGGAUCCCAUCUUCAGGAAUGGUUUGCUGGUGUGGGUGGAGCAAUUGGCCAAAUCCAUCCUGGAGCUGGGAGCAGUCACGGCCCUCAUUCCAGGAAGGUUUUCCUGCCUCCAAAGCCGAGAUGCUUUUUCCCAGGCAGCCAGCUCCCUGAUGGACUCUGCUCUCCGUGUCCAAGCCGGGCUGGACGGGUCCAACCACCCGGAGAUCCUCAGCCCGCUCCGGGAGCAAGUGCGGAGCACCAAGGUGGAAAAGGGGCUGGAGCUCAGCCCAUCCCACACCGGGACACGAACCAGGACGGAUGAGGCAGCAUUCCAAGGAGAUAUCCAAAAUCAUCCAUCUUCACCACCAGCUAACCUCCACCUGGAUCCAUGGAAAGGGGAUACACACCCUGUCAUCACUGCUCUCCUGGGAGCAUCCCAGGCCGGUGACAUGGACGCUGUCCAUGCUGCUUGCUCCGUCCUGCUGGAGCUCUCCGAUGGCUAUGUGGAAGCAGCACGGGAAGCGCUGCCUGUGGCUGAACACCCACAGCUCCAGGUGCUGGAGCAGCACUGGGAUAUCAAGGCACUAACCCCAAGGAUCAUCAGUCUGGCCACGGAAACGGCCCCUGGGCAGCUCCCCGCUCCAGGCAGGCUUCUCCAAAUGGCACUCAGGCUCUCGGGAAGGAUCCAGGAGACUCAGGAGUGCCUGGUAGCUGUGGCAGGCUCUUGGAAUGGUCUAGCCCAGCAAGUGCUUGGAUUUAUCCUGUCAGGUGACUUUCCAAGAGGGAAGCAGGCUUUGGAUGAGACCCUGCUGGGUUUAGCGGGAGCAGUGCAGGUGGCAGGAGACAUUGCAAGCACAGCCUGCAGUAGGGAAAAUCCCAAUCCCUCUCAUGUCCAGGAGAGCUUUCUGCAGCUCCAAGCCAAGUUCUCCCGUGCUCAGCUGAACACCAAAGGGUUCCUGCAGAAGGCACUGUCCUUCAGGGAAUCCUGUGGGAUGGAAAAGGCCAUCCUGGAGCUGCACGGUGUCCGGUGGGCCAUUGGCAUGUGUGUCCUGCUGGAUGCCAUGGAUCAGUUUGUGGGCAGGGAUGUCCUGUUCCUGAGGGAGCUGAGCAGAGCCGUGAGGAACAAGGUUGGCCCACGGAGCCUCAUGGCUGCUGUGGCUGAGAAUUCCCUCAGGUUACAGGAGGCUGCCCGGCUCUCCUACUUAUCCUGCCCUGGGGACCACGGUGCCAGAGAAAUCCUGGUGCUCCGGGAGGAGAUCCAGGUGCUCAUGGAAGCGCUGCUGGAUGUGUCCAACACCCUCCUGCUCUCUCCACUGCCUACUGCCAGCCUGGCCAUCCGCUUCGAGCUCCUGCAGAGGGACGUGGCCCUCAGGGCCAAGGCGUUGUUGCUCCACAUGGAAAGGGUCAACAAGGAACAGCUGCAGCUCAUCCAAGACGUGGUUGGAGCAGCUCUGUCCAACCUCACCCAAGAGGAGAGGGAGAGGAACAAAGAAGGAUUUGAGGAGAAGGCAAAUCAGCUCAUGGCUGAUGUCCAGAGGGUCAGAAACACCCUCCAGGGUGCUCUGGAGGCUGGUGCUCAACUUACAUUGCAGCCUGACCUGCUAUCCAUGGCUGACCACCUCCUGCUCCUCACGGCUGAUGUCAUGGGAAGUGCCCAGCGGCACUUCCAGAGCCACCAGGACACUGGGGAUCCCUGCCAGGACCCUGGGGAUCCCCACCUGGAAGGCAUGGUGUGGUACUGGUCAGCCAAGGCACACUACCUUGUCACACAGCUCCGGGUCAUCCAUGGAACCGACAGGGACAUCCUGCAGUGCCUCACAGAAUGCCUGCAGCAGGAAUGCUCCCCAGGAUCACCCAGCAGCACAGCUGGACUCUCCCCAGCCCCAGAGCCCAUGGAGGCAGCAGGAAUUCAUCCAUGCAGGAGCAGAGGAGAGAGUGGAGCAGUGCGGGAAGUGCUUGAACUGAAACAUCCAGGUGGAGGAGAGCACUCGGCAUCGCUGCGUCCACACAUUCCAGGUUUGGAAUCUGCUCCAUUACUGCCUCGACAGCACCAGGAUGGCCCUUCCAGCAUCUCCCCUGCAAAGCAGGAGAGAGGAAACUGUGACAAGUGGCAAGGUGGCCCCAGCAAGGUGUCCCAGGUGACCCAGGACAUGGCCACGAGGAGGCUCCACAUGGCUCAGUUCCUGUGGAGGAAGGGCCCCAUUGCGGUAGGAAGCGUUUCGUCCCUCUGGUUUUCCCUUGGGAUCAUGGCAACUCCAUCCCAAAUCCCUGUGUCACCCA